AUUAAUAAUUAAUAUAUUUAAUAAAAAUAAUUUUAAUUUAAUAAAUAUUUUAAUGGGGGUUAAAGUAUUUUUUAAAGAAAAAAUUUUUAAAUUUAUAGUUAAUUAGUAUUGUGAAAGAAUUUUGAAAUAUUAUGAAAAAUAAAAUUUUUAGAAAGUAAUUUUUAUUUAUUGUAUCUUGUGUAUCAGAGUUUAUUAAAAAUUUUUAAUUUAUAAAUUAAUUUCUCGAAUUUAAAAGAGUUAAAUAAUUAUUAAAGUUAUUGUAGCAAAAUUAUUUUAAAUAAUUAUUUAGAAAUGAAAUGUUAAUCGUUUUUAAAUAUAUCUAGUUUUUAUAGAAAAAAAUUUAAUUUUAAAUUUAAAAAUUAUUUAAUUAAUUUAUUAAUUAAAUAAUUAUUUUAAUUUUAUAAUUUAAGGGAUAAGCUUUAAAUUAAAAUUUUAUAAUAUUAAAUUUUUAUUUUGAAAAUUUUAUAAUUUAUAUUGUUAAUAAAUUUUAUUUUGUUAUAAAUAAUUUCAUUUUUUUAAAAUUUAAAUUUUAUUUAAUUUUUUAUAUAAAAUUUAUUUAUAAUUAUAUACAGUUAAUUAUAAUGAUAAAAUUAGUAUAUUAUUUAAUAUUAAAUUAAAAUUAAUUUUUGAUUAAUAAUUAAAUUAAUUAAAAGGAAUUCGGCAAAUAUUUAUUUUCACUUGUUUAUCAAAAACAUGUCUUUUUGUUAUUUAAUUUAAAGUCUAAUCUGCCCACUGAUUUAUAAAAAUUGAAGGGCUGC
rnacentral:rRNA from 1 species